GUGUUCGCUUCAGCAGCACACAUAUACUAAAAUUGGAAAGAUACAGAAAAAAAUUAGUGUGGCCCCUUCAGAAGGAUGACAUGGAAAAUUGUGAAGUGUUCCAUAUUAUU